rnacentral:rRNA from 1 species
AUUGAACGCUGGCGGCAUGCUUUACACAUGCAAGUCGAACGGCAGCGCGGUCUUCGGCCUGGCGGCGAGUGGCCAACUGGUGAGUAAUUCAUCGGAACGUCCCCAUUUGCUGGUUAUAGCCCGGCGAAAUCCGGAUUAAUACCCCAUUCGCCCUUACGGCGUACGCGGGGGACCGAAAGACCUCCCGCCCUUGGACCGGCCGAUGUCGGAUUAGCUAGUUGGUGGGUUAAAGGCUUACCAAGGCGACGAUCCGUAGCUGGUCUGAGAGGACGACCAGCCACACUGGGACUGAGACACGGCCCAGACUCCUACGGGAGGCAGCAGUGGGGAAUAUUGGACAAUGGGGGCAAGCCUGAUCCAGCCAUGCCGCGUGGGGGAAGAAGGCCUUCGGGUUGUAAACCGCUUUUGUUGGGGAAGAAAACCUGUGGGCUAAUACCCCGGGGGGAUGACGGUACCGGAAGAAUAAGCACCGGCUAACUACGUG